UUGCUUUGAUAAUUAGUCACUUCAACUUCUUCACUCACUCUCUCGUUGUCGCGCCGUUGCAACGUUUCUUUCUUUGAAAUCUCAAACCCUAAUUUCUUGUUUGUUCCACAAUUUCUCAAUCAAUUGCUCAUCAAUUUCUCAAUCAAUUCCACAAUUCAAACCCUAAUUCACAACACCAUGGUCGAUUUUGCUUCUCAUCAUCAUCCAACCCUGUUUUUCAACAAGGGUGAUCAUCAUCUCGAUGAUCUUCAAACUGAUAAGAAGAAAACAUUCAACUCUGACAAAGCACACACAACCUCCAAACCUGUUCUUCAACCACCUCAAACAAACGAUCAAAAUCGCAUCUUGAAGAUCACCUUUUUCUCCUCUUCUGUUCGUAACAAGGAGAAACAACAACAGGAGAAACCGUAUUUGUGUCGUGUUUGCGAAAGGGCUUUUACAUCCAACCGAGCUUUGAAUGGACAUAUGAGAUGUCACAGUUCCAAGAAGGGUACUUCUCCAUUUUUCACUUGUCAAGAUGCUAUUGACUUGUCAAGGUUUUUGCCCCCAAAAACCUACAAGACCCGUAAGCGUUCCAAGAGAUUUGUCAUUGAUGAUGAUGUCCGUGAGGUUGCUCAAUCAUUGUUAGAUAUGUCUUGUGGGAAAUCGUUAUAUUUUGAUGCGGAUAAUCCCAAUGACAACGCUAAAAGAUUGAAGCUUUCCGAUGAAAAAGCAAGGUGUUGAUGAUCCUUUGUCUAUUUGUGUUAAUUGAAUUGAAUGAACAUGAUUUUAUCAUCUUAUUAUUGUUAUAACUUGUGCUGUUUCGAUGUUUUGGUAGUGGAAUUUAUUCUUGUGUAGAAUUGAAACACUUGAGUUUUUGUAUGAUGUUUUUAUGUUUGAAUUCAUAUUCUUACACUUGUUAUUGUUUAUUUCAUGUGUCAUUCUUUCAUGAAUUGAUGAGCAUAAAAGCAAAAUCAAUGAUCCUUUGCCAAAGUCCCCUAUAUUGGCAAUAAUGGUUUCAUUAAGAUUUUGAAGCACGAGUGGCCAGCAAGAUGGCGAAGCUUCAUUCCUGAUCUUGUCUCAGCAGCUAAAACUAGUGAAACAAUCUGCGAGAAUUGCAUGGCUAUACUGAAACUUUUGAGUGAAGAGGUUUCUGAUUUUUCGAGAGGAGAAAUGACACAGCAGAAGAUAAAAGAGCUUAAACAAUCAUUGAACAGUGAAUUUCAACUCAUACAUGAGUUAUGCCUAUAUGUGCAAUCAGCAUCCCAAAGGGCCGAGCUCAUACGCGCUCAUAUGUGCCUAUAUGUGUCCACAUUACAUGCCUUCUUAUCAUGGAUUCCCUUGGGUUAUAUAUUUGAAUCACCGUUGCUUGAGACACUUCUAAAGUUUUUCCUGGUUCCGGCAUAUCGGAACCUAACGUUGCAAUGUUUAACAGAGGUAUGUUUCAUCUGUUAAUGAUCCUUUGUCUAUUUUUGUUAAUUGAAUUGAAUGAACAGGAUUGUAUCAUCUUAUUUUUGUUAUAACUUGUUCUGUUUCGAUGUUUUGGUAGUGGAAUUUAUUCUUGUCAAUGAAGUAUAGAAUUGAAACACUUGAGUUUUUGUAUGAUUUUUUUAUGUUUGAAUUCAUAUUCUUACACUUGUUAUUGUUUAUUUCAUGUGUCAUUCUUUCAUUAAUUGAUGAGCAUAAAAGCAAAAUCAAUGAUCCUUUGCCAAAGUCACCUAGAUUGGUAAUAAUGAUUUCAUUAAGAUUUCUGAGUUGUUGAUUCAUCUUGUGAACAUUAUAUCCACUUUAGCUUUUGGAAUUCUUCCAAUUCAUAUCGAUAAUUUUGGUCACAUUGGAGGAGUAAUAUCAGGGUUUCUGCUUGGAUUUGUAUUGCUGAUUCGCCCUCACUAUAAAUCGGAUAUUCCAACAAACUCUCAUCUUGCUCCUCCUGUUUACAAAUUUUAUCAGCAUGCCCUCUGGAUGAUCUCUUUCGUACUACUCGGUGUUGGAUUGAUAGGCGGGAUGGUUUUGUUACUUAAAGGGGUUAACUUCAAUGAUUACUGCUUAUGGUGUCGCUAUUUAACUUGUGUCCCUAUCUCAAAAUGGAGAUGUUAAUCACACAGACUUUCUUAUCAGGUAUCCCAAAUCAGAAACCAACUUGACAUCAGAUGCUUGAUCAAUGGCAGAAGUAGCAUUUUUCCUUAGUCAGACAGUUACGAGCAGACUGAAUAGCUGUGUCAUCGCUUUUCCGGUUUAUUAAUACAUAAAUACUACAUCUGUUAGUACACUGCCUACUCAACACACUUGUGUAUAUAUGAUUCACUUAUUGCCGCAGACAAAUAUCUUCCUUGUGCACUUGCAGCUAUGGUUGUUGCCAUAGUUAUUGUGCCUACUA